CGGGCAGUAGCUCAGUGGUAGAGCUCCCACUUCGGAUGCGGGAAGACCUGGGUUUGAUUCCAGGCUGCUUCC
rnacentral:tRNA from 1 species